AUAAGGUGAGUCGGGGCAAGCGCGCCUACGGGGUAAGAGCGCCCCCCCCUAUUAUCUCAAAAACUACUGAUGUGGGACUCUUAACGACAUCUUACAUCCAUGGAACAAAUCAAAUGAAGUUCCGGGUUUAAAUCACAGAUGGCUCUGCUUGCUCUAAUUUGAGAUAAUGGACAUUCUAUUUUUAGUGUCAUUUUAACAUCAAUUACGAGAUGAGCACGUGUUACAAAUCCAUUAAAAUCUCAGAAAAUCAUCAGUGUUUGGGGAAACUAAUAAGAUGGUUCGUAAUUACGUUAGAAAAACUGAGGGUCCUUCUUGGUCCAAGGAAACCUUAUUUGAAGCAAUUGAAGCGGUUCAAUCAGGUAGAUUAUCUGGGUAUGAAGCUGCCAAAACAUACGAUAUACCCCGUAAAACAAUAAUGGAUCAUGUAAAUGGUCGAAGAGGCCAAAAGUCACUCACACAAGGUAGACCCACUGCGUUGUCAUCGGAAACGGAGCAAAAAUUAGCUGAUUGUGUACAUGUGAUGGAAAAGCUUGGGUUUGGCUUAAGUCGGACAGAAGUUUUAGAGCUUGUUGGUGAAUAUGUUAACAAAAAUAACAUAGAUACACCAUUUACUAAUGGCAUACCUGGCAGUGAUUGGUUUUCCAAUUUUAUGACUCGACACGGAUUGUCAAUUAAAAAGCCUCAAGCUGUUGAAAAUGUUCGUAAAACAGCGGCUGA